rnacentral:lncRNA from 1 species
CUAUGAAAGAUCAAUCUCUCACCAAAAAUGGAUAGAAAUUUUUGAGAUCAAGCAAACAUACUCUAGUCCUAAGGUCAAUUUGAACCUAAUAAUCCAAAAAUUAGAUAAAGUCGAUCUUCUUGCUCAGAAAAUAGAUUAGUUCCUAACCCUAGGUCAACAAUCUCCUGUGCAAUACACACAACCUUCUAAUUAUUAGGAGAUUUAUUCUAUCUGUGCUAGCUUAGCCCAUCCUGUGAGUGAAUGACCUAUGGCUGUGCAGUUUCCACCUUUCGUCCAAGAACAAGUUCAAGC